CCUUGACAUGCAGAGAACUUCAGAGAUGGAUUGGUGCCUUCGGGAACUCUGACACAGGUGCUGCAUGGCUGUCGUCAGCUCGUGUCGUGAGAUGUUGGGUUAAGUCCCGUAACGAGCGCAACCCUUGUCCUUAGUUACCAGCACGUUAUGGUGGGCACUCUAAGGAGACUGCCGGUGACAAAACCGGAGGAAGGUGGGGGAUGACGUCAAGUCAUCCAUGGCCCUUACGGCCUGGGCUACACACGUGCUACAAUGGUCGGUACAAAGGGUUGCCAAGCCGCGAGGUGGAGCUAAUCCCAUAAAACCGAUCGUAGUCCGGAUCGCAGUCUGCAACUCGACUGCGUGAAGUCGGAAUCGCUAGUAAUCGUGAAUCAGAAUGUCACGGUGAAUACGUUCCCGGGCCUU
rnacentral:rRNA from 1 species